UCAAACCUAAAAUGCAUACAAACACGUCCUCUUGAUGUACAUCUUGUAAGCUGAAACGGCCAUGAAGACUCAUGUGAAAUCCAAACGCGAAUGAUUGUUCCCUCACUAAAAGCGCUUAUCUGAAAAGCUCAUCCAUAAUGUGGUUUCUCUUUCGCUUCCGCAUCAUCUUGGAGCUUUAGAGCCCAACAAAAUUGCGUCUUCACCGCCGCCUCCAAUCCAAAUGCGACGCCGCCGCCUCCAAUCCAAAUGCGACGCCGCCUUCAUGAAGAAAAGCCACGACGGCAAUCGCGGCGUCUGAGUCAUCAUUGUCUCCUAACCGUUUUGUUAAGCAUCCGCAAAUUCACAUCCAAAUGCAACUUAAAUUCAAAGUGGUACCUUUGAAUUAGAAGAAUGAUGCUGAUGGUUCAAAUGGUCGUGGUCGGACUGCCAUGCUUCCGAAGCUACGUAUUGGACUGAUUUGGAAAAUUAUCGUGCACCCUCCGGUGCACUAAGGGACCUUCACUGAACCAUGAUUUUCGUGAUUCCCAUCGGGUAGAAUCUUCAUUCCCAUUUUUCUUUGACUAACAUUUCCUUGAUAAUAGAAUACUUGACUGUAUGGCAGGAUAUAGGCAGUAGCAUCUUUUCAAGGAGAUUUUACUUGGUGCAAGGCAAAAACUGGGUUAUUCUCCGAUCCGUCGAAUGUCUUGUUAGUUUAAGCCAUAUCUUUGUAACCUUAUAAAUAUUGGUUCUGCAGGGCAUGCUUGAGUUUGUUAAUCUAGUCAUUAAGUUAGUUCGUGAAACUUUGAAUUUAUGCCGGCUAGUGACGUUUGUAAACUGGUUGCUGCUGUUGAUGUAUGGCCUGUUUGCCUUAUGUGAUCAUAAAAACUGAGAUGUGGUUACUUCUGCUAUGCCAGUUGUUUAUGGAGUUAGUUCCUUUUCAGGUUGUUAGAUUCCAAUUAGUUAAUUUGUUAGGAAUUGUGAGUUUGUGAAAUAAUGGUGUUAGAGAUUUUUUUGUUUUCAUAUAUAGGAAAGCUAGAAUUUGCUAGUGCAGCCCUGUUAUUGAUGUUGUGCUGCUCAGGAUGGAAUUACAAUGUCAUUAUGCGUCGUUGCUGUAAUAUGAGUUGGAUAUGGAGUCAAAGGGAACUGUUUCUUGAA